rnacentral:rRNA from 1 species
AGAAUCAACGCUGGCGGCGUGCCUAACACAUGCAAGUCGAACGAGAAAAUGGUAGCAAUACCAUGAGUAAAGUGGCGCACGGGUGAGUAACACGUGACUAACCUACCCUUGAGUGGGGGAUAACUGAGGGAACCUUAGCUAAUACCGCAUAAUACCCACGGGUCAAAGGAGCAAUUCGCUCGAGGAGGGGGUCGCGGCCGAUUAGUUAGUUGGCGGGGUAAUGGCCCACCAAGACGAUGAUCGGUA